UUGGCACAAUUGCCCUUGGGCCUGUGGUAAGGAGGGACAUUAGGGCUGGAGGUAUGCGUUGGAGUGAGAUGCUUAUCCUACGGCAGUCAGGAAGCUUAAAAUAAGUACCAGGAGCUAAAGGAAGGCAUGGUGAACAAAAUGAUGAUGACACACAUCAGCAGAUGGACACCAGCAACAAGCAAGGCGAUUUCUCCUACCAGCAACAGCUUCCUCCGGAUGUAAGCAGCACCGGCUUUCCAGCCAUGAACAGAACCACCAGCGCAGAGUAAUUGUCCAGCAGAGGCAGAAGUGUCCCGGUG